AACGAACGCUGGCGGCAUGCCUAACACAUGCAAGUCGAACGAGACCUUCGGGUCUAGUGGCGCACGGGUGCGUAACGCGUGGGAACCUGCCUUUAGGUUCGGAAUAACUCAGAAAAAUUUGAGCUAAUACCGGAUAACGUCUUCGGACCAAAGAUUUAUCGCCUUUAGAUGGGCCCGCGUUGGAUUAGCUAGUUGGUGGGGUAAAGGCCUACCAAGGCGACGAUCCAUAGCUGGUCUGAGAGGAUGAUCAGCCACACUGGGACUGAGACACGGCCCAGACUCCUACGGGAGGCAGCAGUGGGGAAUAUUGGACAAUGGGCGAAAGGCCUGAUCCAGCAAUGCCGCGUGAGUGAUGAAGGG
rnacentral:rRNA from 1 species